rnacentral:rRNA from 1 species
AUGGCGUCCAGCCUCGCCGCCCCUUCUUCGGCCCCGGCCCCGGCGUGCUGCUCGCUCCAGCUCCACCUCCUCCGCCGCCCCGCCCUAGUCCUCUUUCCCUCCUACUCACGCGCACGCCCCCACCUCCGCCUCAGAGCCCAACCCUCCCCCGAGCCCGAAGCCGGCGACUCCUUCGCCGGCUGGUCGGACAAGCAGGAAGACAAUAAGGAUGCUGCUGCUGAUUCUGAUUCUGAUUCAGGAGGAGGAGCAUUGGGAGGGCUUGUUGGACCUGCCCUUGCUGGCCUCCUCUUCCUCGCCGGAAUCACAUUCGCCGCAAUCUCCAUCAGAGGAUCAAAGGCACCCUUGCCCACACACACUGAGACGACGGCCGAUACUACUCCUGACCAACAACAACAAGACGACAAUGACGCUGCUGCUGCUCAGGCUCUGUCACCAGCCGAUGAUACCCUGGAUGCCACUAGUGAUACAACGCCAUUGCCUAAUAAUCUACAAACAGACGACAAAAUACCCGAGGAAGCAGCUCAACAUGACGACAUGGACAACCACCAAUUGGAUCUGGAUCGCAGCAGCAGUCACCUAGAUCCGACCACCGAUAAAUACAUUGCUUCACAAGAUGACACUCCUGUGACUGAUUCACCUCAAUCUUUGGUCCCUGCUUAUGAUCCAACCUCUGAGGAGGCAACUCCUGACCCACAGGAGGCAUUAUUAUUGGACUCUGAACCCAAUUUGCCAGAAAACCAGGAUACUACUUUCACUUCAGAUAUUAUGGUGCUGGAAUCUGGUGAUGUUGUGCAAAUAUCCGACGCUGCGAUUGAGGCUGCAUCGCACACCUAUGUACAAGAUACUGAGCAGAGUCCUGACAAACUCUCUACUCAAGAUGGACUUUCUGCAUCCACUUUUCCUGAUUAUGUAGCAUAUGGAAGCACUGACCAGAUGCUUCCAUCAGGCUCAAAUGACUUACCCACUCAAGACGCUAACCCAGCAAAGGCGAUACAAGACCCAGCAUCAGACCAGGAUCAAGCACAAAAUGCCAAACCUUUCUCUUCUGGAAUUGGAAUUCCUGCUCCCUCUCUGCUCUCUGCGGCUUUACAGGUGCCUGCUGGCCAGAUUGUGGUUCCCGCGGCAGUUGACCCUACCCAGGGAAAUGCAUUGGCCGCGCUGCAAGUUCUAAAGGUGAUUGAACCUGAUGCUCGAGCUGGUGAUUUGUGUACCCGACGUGAAUACGCUCGAUGGUUGGUAGUUGCAAGCAAUUCCCUUUCGAGGAACACUUACUCAAAAGUUUAUCCAGCAAUGUACAUCGAGAACGUGUCUGAACUUGCAUUUGAUGACGUCACCACUGAAGAUCCUGAUUUUCCAUUUAUACAAGGAUUGGCAGAAGCAGGGUUAAUUUCUAGCAAGCUUUCAAGAUCCGAUAUGGAAGUUGCUGAAAACGUUGAGAACAACCAUUACUUUUUCUCCGCGGAUAGUCCCUUGUCACGUCAAGACCUUGUGAGUUGGAAGAUGGCUUUGGAUAAAAGGCAACUACCUGAAGUGGACAAAAAUUCUUUGUACAAGACAUCCGGCUACAUAGACAUUGAUAAAAUUGACACAGCUGCAUGGCCUGCAUUGGUAGCUGACUUGGGUGCCGGAGACCAGAGCAUCACAGCUCUUGCAUUCGGUUUUACAAGGCUUUUCCAGCCAGACAAACCUGUGACGAAAGGACAAGCUGCCCUAGCACUUUCAACUGGUGACUAUGCUGAAGUGGUUAUGGAGGAGCUUGCUCGUAUCGAAGCAGAGAAAAUAGCUGAAGCAGCUGUGAACGCUCAUGGGGCAUUGGUCGCUGAGGUGGAGAAACAAAUUAAUGCAAGUUUUGACAGGGAGCUUACAAGGGAAAAGGAGAAAAUAGAGACCCUUGAAAAGCUGGCUGAAGAGGCCAGGGCUGAAUUGGACAAGUUGAGAGCAGAGAGAGAGGAGGAAAAGAAUGCUCUGCUUAGGGGCAGAGCUACCGUCGAAUCUGAAAUACAAGUUCUUUCAAAAUUGAGGUGUGAAGUAGAGGAGCAGCUGCAGAAUGUGCUGAGCAAGAAGGUCGAGAUCAACUUUGAGAAGAACAGGAUUGAGAAACUUCAAAAGGAAAUCGAGAAUGAAAACCAGGCUGCUGUGCAACUUCAGUACGAGCUUGAAGUUGAAAGGAAGGCUUUGUCUAUGGCCAGGGCUUGGGCAGAGGAUGAAGCAAAGAAGGCCAGGGAGCAUGCUCGCGCACUCGAGGAGGCCCGGAACCAGUGGGAGCGACAGGGAAUCAAAGUUGUAGUCGAGGCAGGGCUUGAGGAGGAUGCAUCGGCUGGGGUGACAUGGGCUAAUGCUGGCAAAGAACACCCAGUCGACGAGGCCAUCAACCGGGCGGAGUCGUUGCUGGAGAAGCUCAAGUCGUUUGGUGGUGAGAUGAAAGUGCGAUCCAGCCAUGCCCUGGAGAGAGUGAUGCAGUAUGUGAGGUCCUUGAUCUCAAGCCUAAAGGAGCGAGCGGCAGAAGCAAGGCAAGGGUGCGCAGAUCUUGGGGCUGCUGCAGCCUCAAAGGCAAAGAAUGUGUCAUCAGAAGCAAAGGCGUUUGGUUCAAGCGUCGCGGACAGGUCGAAGAAGGUAGUGGAGGAGUGCAAAGAUGGCUUGGAGAAGUUUGUGCACAGAUUCAAGACAGACUAG